GUUAAGCUUAACGAGGGGAUGCUUUACAAACAUUCAGAGAUGAACUUACACACUUGCUUUACUUCUCUCUGGGAUAACCUCGGAGAUGAAAUGCUGGUUUGCUAGGAGGCUACAAAUACACGCAGCCGCUCUAUCAAGUGACGCACACUGCUCUGACGUGCUACGGUUAUGAGCCGAGUUACGCCGUGUUGCAAGUUUUGUGAGGUGCUUUUUUGAUAUUUAAUGGAUCGGAUUACAUUUUUUAUUUCUCUCCGAUAUCCGAUCCAGUAAUUUACGUCAGUAUCGGACCGGUCCAUCUCUAGUAGAUAGAGUCAUAUUAUUUACUUAGGGAAAUGCACAAGUAUUGCUAUUCAUUUAACUCCAUUAGAAAGCAGCAGUGAAACUCACAGUGGAUGUGCAGACUACUUACAGGAAAUUUUAGGUAGAAAACUACCGGGAACUCCUGUGAAGUGACAUGAAAAUGGAAGUGGAGCUUCUGACAACCAUCCGUACAUGAGCACCGUACAGAAGGGCACUGACUUCAGAAGAACUGCAAAAAAUAACAGCAAAGUAAAAUCUUGCAGUCUACUGAAAUGACAAGUCUUCUUGAUCAUAAAUGAGAAAGGAAGAACAGCUUCAGACAUUUUAGUCAGAAUGGUGUGAAAAACAGAAAACAUCCAGGGAGCAGCAGGUCUGCAGGACGUGUUCUGUGUUCUGAGAUGCAACCCCUUGAAGCUGAACAGCUGAAAACCAUGUCGGAUUCGAUUCCUGUGAGGCUGCUGUGGACACAGUCUUCCCAGCCUUCCCAACUAUUCUCCUAGACAUGGGGAAAC